GCUCUGCUGUGGCCUAUGGCUUUUCAUUCCUAUGUGAUUGCUGCUCCAAAUUCAUGUAGGGCUAAAAGCCAUGGGCUACAGUGAGGGGCGAGCUCC
rnacentral:pre_miRNA from 1 species